rnacentral:rRNA from 1 species
UUGGACAAUAGGCGAAAGCCUGAUCCAGCAAUGCCGCGUGCACGAUGAAGGUCUUCGGAACGUAAAGUGCUUUUAGAAGGGAUGAGUAAGGACAGUACCUUCUGAAUAAGCCUCGGCGAACUACGUGCCAGCAGCCGCGGUAAGACGUAGGAGGCAAGCGUUAUCCGGAUUCAUUGGGCGUAAAGCGCGUGCAGGCGGUUUGGUAAGUUGGAUGUGAAAGCUCUUGGCUUAACCGGGAGAGGUCGUUCAAAACUACCAG